rnacentral:rRNA from 1 species
AGUGAACGCUGGCGGCAGGCCUAACACAUGCAAGUCGAGCGGCAGCGCGGGGGCAACCCUGGCGGCGAGCGGCGGACGGGUGAGGAAUACAUCGGAAUCUACCCAGUCGUGGGGGAUAACGUAGGGAAACUUACGCUAAUACCGCAUACGACCUGAGGGUGAAAGCAGGGGACCGCAAGGCCCUGCGCGACUGGAUGAGCCGAUGUCCGAUUAGCUAGUUGGUGAGGUAAAGGCUCACCAAGGCGACGAUCGGUAGCUGGUCUGAGAGGAUGAUCAGCCACACUGGAACUGAGACACGGUCCAGACUCCUACGGGAGGCAGCAGUGGGGAAUAUUGGACAAUGGGCGCAAGCCUGAUCCAGCCAUGCCGCGUGUGUGAAGAAGGCCUUCGGGUUGUAAAGCACUUUUGUCCGGGAAGAAAAGCCAGGGAUUAAUACCCCCGGGUUCUGACGGUACCGGAAGAAUAAGCACCGGCUAACUUCGUGCCAGCCGCCGCAGUAACAC